UACAGAGGUCUCAAGCGUUGUUCGGAUUCAUUGGGCGUAAAGGGUGUGUAGGUGGCGCGCUAAGUCGGGUGUGAAAUCUCGGAGCUUAACUCCGAAACUGCAUUCGAUACUGCCGUGCUUGAGGACUGGAGAGGAGACUGGAAUUUACGGUGUAGCGGUGAAAUGCGUAGAUAUCGUAAGGAAGACCAGUGGCGAAGGCGAGUCUCUGGACAGUUCCUGACGCUGAGGCACGAAGGUCAGGGGAGCAAACGGG
rnacentral:rRNA from 1 species